UAGGGAAUAUUCGGCAAUGGGCGAAAGCCUGACCGAGCGACGCCGCGUGGUGGAAGAAGGCCUUCGGGUUGUAAACACCUUUUUUAUGGGACGAAUUUUUGACGGUACCAUAAGAAUAAGAGGUUGCUAACUCUGUGCCAGCAGCAGCGGUAAUACAGAGACCUCAAACGUUAUCCGGAAUCACUGGGCGUAAAGCGUACCGAUAGACGGUUUUGUAAGUCUUUGGUGAAAGCCCGAAGCUCAACUUCGGAAUCGCCAAGGAAACUAUAAGACUAGAGGAACAAAGAGGGAGCUGGAACUUUGGGUGUAGCGGUGAAAUGCGUUGAUAUCCAAAGGAACACUAAAAGCGAAGGCAGGCUCCUGGGUGUUUCCUGACGUUGCUAGGACGAAAGUGUGGGUAGCGAAUGGG
rnacentral:rRNA from 1 species